UUAAGCGACUAAGCGUACACGGUGGAUGCCCUGGCAGUCAGAGGCGAUGAAGGACGUGCUAAUCUGCGAAAAGCGUCGGUAAGGUGAUAUGAACCGUUACAGCCGGCGAUGUCCGAAUGGGGAAACCCAGUGCAAUUCGUUGCACUAUCGUUAACUGAAUACAUAGGUUAACGAGGCGAACCGGGGGAACUGAAACAUCUAAGUACCCCGAGGAAAAGAAAUCAACCGAGAUUCCCCCAGUAGCGGCGAGCGAACGGGGAGCAGCCCAGAGUCUGAAUCAGCUUGUGUGUUAGUGGAACGGUCUGGAAAGUCCGACGGUACAGGGUGAUAGUCCCGUACACCAAAAUGCACAGGCUGUGAACUCGAAGAGUAGGGCGGGACACGUGGUAUCCUGUCUGAAUAUGGGGGGACCAUCCUCCAAGGCUAAAUACUCCUGACUGACCGAUAGUGAACCAGUACCGUGAGGGAAAGGCGAAAAGAACCCCGGCGAGGGGAGUGAAAAAGAACCUGAAACCGUGUACGUACAAGCAGUGGGAGCACCUUCGGGUGUGACUGCGUACCUUUUGUAUAAUGGGUCAGCGACUUAUAUUCUGUAGCAAGGUUAACCGUAUAGGGGAGCCGCAGGGAAACCGAGUCUUAACUGGGCGUUAAGUUGCAGGGUAUAGACCCGAAACCCGGUGAUUCAGCCAUGGGCAGGUUGAAGGUUGGGUAACACUAACUGGAGGACCGAACCGACUAAUGUUGAAAAAUUAGCGGAUGACUUGUGGCUGGGGGUGAAAGGCCAAUCAAACCGGGAGAUAGCUGGUUCUCCCCGAAAGCUAUUUAGGUAGCGCCUCGUGAACUCAUCUUCGGGGGUAGAGCACUGUUUCGGCUAGGGGGUCAUCCCGACUUACCAACCCGAUGCAAACUACGAAUACCGAAGAAUGUUAUCACGGGAGACACACGGCGGGUGCUAACGUCCGUCGUGAAGAGGGAAACAACCCAGACCGCCAGCUAAGGUCCCAAAGUCAUGGUUAAGUGGGAAACGAUGUGGGAAGGCACAGACAGCCGGAUGUUGGCUUAGAAGCAGCCAUCAUUUAAAGAAAGCGUAAUAGCUCACUGGUCGAGUCGGCCUGCGCGGAAGAUGUAACGGGCUAAACCAUGCACCGAAGCUGCGGCAGCGACACUAUGUGUUGUUGGGUAGGGGAGCGUUCUGUAAGCCUGCGAAGGUGUGCUGUGAGGCAUGCUGGAGGUAUCAGAAGUGCGAAUGCUGACAUAAGUAACGAUAAAGCGGGUGAAAAGCCCGCUCGCCGGAAGACCAAGGGUUCCUGUCCAACGUUAAUCGGGGCAGGGUGAGUCGACCCUAAGGCGAGGCCGAAAGGCGUAGUCGAUGGGAAACAGGUUAAUAUUCCUGUACUUGGUGUUACUGCGAAGGGGGGACGGAGAAGGCUAUGUUAGCCGGGCGACGGUUGUCCCGGUUUAAGCAUGUAGGCUGAUUGUCCAGGCAAAUCCGGAUAAUCAAGGCUGAGGUGUGAUGACGAGGCACUACGGUGCUGAAGUAACAAAUGCCCUGCUUCCAGGAAAAGCCUCUAAGCAUCAGGUAACAUCAAAUCGUACCCCAAACCGACACAGGUGGUCAGGUAGAGAAUACCAAGGCGCUUGAGAGAACUCGGGUGAAGGAACUAGGCAAAAUGGUGCCGUAACUUCGGGAGAAGGCACGCUGGUGUGUAGGUGAAGUCCCUGCGGAUGGAGCUGAGACCAGUCGAAGAUACCAGCUGGCUGCAACUGUUUAUUAAAAACACAGCACUGUGCAAACACGAAAGUGGACGUAUACGGUGUGACGCCUGCCCGGUGCCGGAAGGUUAAUUGAUGGGGUUAUCCGUAAGGAGAAGCUCUUGAUCGAAGCCCCGGUAAACGGCGGCCGUAACUAUAACGGUCCUAAGGUAGCGAAAUUCCUUGUCGGGUAAGUUCCGACCUGCACGAAUGGCGUAAUGAUGGCGCUGUCUCCACCCGAGACUCAGUGAAAUUGAACUCGCUGUGAAGAUGCAGUGUACCCGCGGCAAGACGGAAAGACCCCGUGAACCUUUACUAUAGCUUGACACUGAACAUUGAGCCUUGAUGUGUAGGAUAGGUGGGAGGCUUUGAAGCGUGGACGCCAGUCUGCGUGGAGCCAACCUUGAAAUACCACCCUUUAAUGUUUGAUGUUCUAACGUUGGCCCCUGACCGGGGUUGCGGACAGUGUCUGGUGGGUAGUUUGACUGGGGCGGUCUCCUCCCAAAGCGUAACGGAGGAGCACGAAGGUUAGCUAAUCCGGUCGGACAUCAGGAGGUUAGUGCAAUGGCAUAAGCUAGCUUGACUGCGAGCGUGACGGCGCGAGCAGGUGCGAAAGCAGGUCAUAGUGAUCCGGUGGUUCUGAAUGGAAGGGCCAUCGCUCAACGGAUAAAAGGUACUCCGGGGAUAACAGGCUGAUACCGCCCAAGAGUUCAUAUCGACGGCGGUGUUUGGCACCUCGAUGUCGGCUCAUCACAUCCUGGGGCUGAAGUAGGUCCCAAGGGUAUGGCUGUUCGCCAUUUAAAGUGGUACGCGAGCUGGGUUUAGAACGUCGUGAGACAGUUCGGUCCCUAUCUGCCGUGGGCGCUGGAGAAUUGAGGGGGGCUGCUCCUAGUACGAGAGGACCGGAGUGGACGCAUCACUGGUGUUCGGGUUGUCAUGCCAAUGGCACUGCCCGGUAGCUAAAUGCGGAAGAGAUAAGUGCUGAAAGCAUCUAAGCACGAAACUUGCCCCGAGAUGAGUUCUCCCUGAGACUAUAAGUCUCCUGAAGGAACGUUGAAGACGACGACGUUGAUAGGCCGGGUGUGUAAGCGCAGCGAUGCGUUGAGCUAACCGGUACUAAUGAACCGUGAGGCUUAACCU
rnacentral:rRNA from 1 species